rnacentral:rRNA from 1 species
CCUACGGGAGGCAGCAGUGGGGAAUAUUGGGCAAUGGGCGCAAGCCUGACCCAGCAACGCCGCGUGAAGGAAGAAGGCUUUCGGGUUGUAAACUUCUUUUAAGGGGGAAGAGCAGAAGACGGUACCCCUUGAAUAAGCCACGGCUAACUACGGGCCAGCAGCCGCGGUAAUACGUAGGUGGCAAGCGUUGUCCGGAUUUACUGGGUGUAAAGGGCGUGCAGCCGGAGAGACAAGUCAGAUGUGAAAUCCACGGGCUCAACCCGUGAACUGCAUUUGAAACUGUUUCCCUUGAGUGUCGGAGAGGUAAUCGGAAUUCCUUGUGUAGCGGUGAAAUGCGUAGAUAUAAGGAAGAACACCAGUGGCGAAGGCGGAUUACUGGACGAUAACUGACGGUGAGGCGCGAAAGCGUGGGGAGCAAACAGGAUUAGAUACCCCUGUAGUC